GAAUGAUUUUGUUUUAUGGAGCUUUGAAGAGCGAUGAAUGGCACUAUAGUGGUGCCAAAUUGAUAUCUCAAACACCCAUUGUUGAUGUGUGAUGCUGAUAAUACAGAGACAGCUAGAGUGACAGAGUUUGAUGAAUAAACUUAAAUUAAAAAACAGAAAUAACCACCAUCUCUCUCAGAGGUCGUCUUUCUCAUUAUUGUGGGGAAACCUCAAAGGGCAUCAGGAAAACCUUCAUCAACCUCUUUGUGCCCAGUGGCUUGUGCAACAGUGUUUCAGAAAUUAUCAUUAAAAUGGGGAUAAUGGAUGACUGGCCACACAUAUGGGGCUAUGGACAAGCUUCAGAGCAGGCUGCUAGGUGGUGGUUUAGUAGUUUAUACUCCGGGUCCCGGCGUGAGCACAUUGAAGGGUCCCAGAGUGACAGUUCAACCACCGCACACCUAUCCUGGGCAGAACCAGUACUAGGUGCCUUCACCUCUGCAAGGAACUGACAACUUCUGUACAUGCCAGGGGCAGUGGUACAGUGCGAAUGGUCGUAGAAAGGAUUUCAUAACCAAUCACAACAGAGGUGACCUGGUCCGCCCGGGAAUCGAACCGGGGUUGUCCAAUUCAGA